rnacentral:lncRNA from 1 species
CUGGCACACGAGGAACCCUAUAUAGAAAAAGUAAAUGAAACUAUUCUAUUACAUAAUUUUAAUAGCUUUAGAAAAUGUCCAUCUAUUCAUUUAAACAAGUGUGGCUAUAGCGCAGAACUCAAAUUAUUAUUCAAUUCAUAAGAUCCUACACUAACCUUAUAGCCUACAUUGCAAUGAAUAGUGUGACAAGUUGCAUAAGCAGGAUUAAUUCCACAACGAGACGUUGCCAAACUACCAAUAAUUGAUAGCAAAGUUAGAUUGCCGGAUACCGUUAGGUGGCCCGGCGAUUGCCAUUAGAUGCCAACCAAAUGAUGUUAA